rnacentral:rRNA from 1 species
AUGGCCGAAUGCUUCAAUAGGGUGCUCAAAGGUGCACGUGGAUUACCCGUGACGGCAAUAGUUCAAUACACAUUUGACAAGAUGAAUGCGUACUUUGUAAAGUACUCGAUGGAAACCGAUGCACAGAUAGCGGGUGAGAACCCACGGAAGUACAAGUACAAGUUCCCACCCAAAGUUGAUGAAUGGUUGCUAUUUCAAUCACGGAAGGCGGACUCAGAAGAAGCUAUAUUAUAUGACAAUGAGGAGUGGAAGUACGAAGUGAAAGAGCCAGGAGGAACCACAAACGAUGGCCGGCAACAUGGAGGUCGGGCUUUCAAGGUGUCGUUAACACAAUGUGAUUGCACUUGCGGGAGGCCAUUGUUGCUUCAUCUCCCAUGCUCACAUUUGUAUGCCGCCGGCCGCGUUAGGAAUGUGGACAUCAAUCACCCACGCACCGUGAGGGAGUCCCAGUUCUCAAUCAUGACGGUCAAGAAAACAUGGGCUCCCCGCUUUCACCCAUACUUUGACCAAUCACAAUGGCCGGAGUAUCAUGGAGUUCAACUAUGGCCGGAUCCG